GAUAAUAUAAUUUUUAUGAAAAAUUAUAUUUUAUGAAAAUAUAAUAUAUAAUUAGAUUAUAUUAAUUAUAAUCU
rnacentral:tRNA from 1 species